ACUCUAUACAACAUUAAUUCUUUUAUCUUCUUUUUCUCAUUGCAUAGCUCCAAAAUAAAAUUUUUUGGGUUGCCAAACUUGUAAGAAUUCCCUGUUUUUCAAAACUUUCUAUUUUAAGACCCCUUCCUUCCAAUAAAAUAUGGCUGAUUGAAGAGGCAUUACAUCCACAUCCUCUAAAGGGGAGGAACACUGUGUCCUCAAAUGGCAGAAAGGUAGAAGAUCAAGCUAACUGAACGCUGUGGGAAGCCUCUUUUAUAAGGGCCUUACUGCUAUUCAUGAGGGAGUAGCCUUCAUGGCCUCUUAAAGGCCCUGUUACCUCUUGAUACUGUC
rnacentral:lncRNA from 1 species